GAAUUGUUAAGGUCACAGUUAUUAUCAAUAGUGAGAAAACAUUGUAUUAAUGCCACACUUUGAGUGCUGGAUGGAUUCAACUUCUGCUUUUGAAGAAGCAGGAAGAAACCUAAGGAACUUUUUUUGCUGAUCUGAAAAGUAUUCAACCCAUGACUCAAAAACCAUAAUGUUAUUCAUUUAACCAGUACUACAUUGUAAAAUUAGACAAUUCCUUCCUUCUUUUUUGUCCUUGGCCAAUCACUGCCUGUUUACUGCAGUUGUGACUUCAGGAGGUAACAAUUAGAUAUUGUUUGUGUUGCCUAAUUGACUAAUAUGAGUAAAUGCUGCAGUGAAAGUUUGUCUGUUAAAGCUAUCAGAUGAUAGUGAACUCUACUUUGAUUUUAUAAAGAGAGCAGAUUUACACUCUUCAGCACCCCCACAUCUGAUAUUAAAAGGCCACACAUCUGUCUGUGCUGGCAAUCUGCCACAAGGUGCUUGCAAUCGUUUGUGGGCCAUUACCACACACCCUGUGCUGACCCUUUAUUGAAGAUUGGGUACUUGAUGUAUUUUUUUAAUUUACUAAGCAAGCACCAAGCCCAUGGGCUUCGUUACGCCAUUUUAGGGGUGCUUUAGCCCCCCCCUUCCCCCAAAAUUCUUCUCGGCCCUCCUAAAUAUUUGGCAAUGUUAUCUCCAUACACUGUACAUGGAUUUGUGAUUGCUUCAGUGAACUUUAACAUUUUAUAUGAAAACGGCAGCAGGGCCUAUUUCGGUUCUUCCCCCGUUUAGUCUGUGAUAGCACGUUCAGCCCAUCUAUGUAAUACAGUGGAAUAAUCCAAUUAGGUGGCGGAGCUAGAAGAGUGCCUGGGUGUCCAAAUUAAUUCCCUACUUUCACUUCCUCUAAUAAUUCAUUUCCUGUUCAUCUACAUGUUUAUUUCAACAUGCGGCAUCGUAGCAUUUUGUAUUAACUUUGUAUGUAAGUAUUAACACAAUUUAUAUUUGUUUACAUAACUUCCAGUAAAUCUAUAAAGCUAUCCAGUAAAGCUAUCCAGUAAAGCUAUAAUAAAUCACUCUUGAGUGUCCAGCCAAAUGUGGAUCAUCUAAGAUUCACUCUUUUUUUUGUGGCUUAAUUUGCACUCCGAUUUUAAUCAAAUCAGAUGCUAAUAUGAAUUGGGUCAAGUAAAACGUCAGGAGAGCAGUAGUGCCUUGCACAGUUUAGCUUGUGCAAUAAGUGAAAGUUUGAGGAAGUGGAAUAUCCGUGCUUGCCACAUACCCACAUGGAAAGCUUCCUUCCUGAACACAUAAGUGUCUGCAUGCGUGUUGUCCCGUUGCUGACCUCAUGAGGUUUUUAUCAUAAGCACUAGUGUGCUGUAUACAAAACUCACCACUUUGUGACGUUACUCCUGGAUUGUUUAAACAACGCUCACCGGUCAGGAAUGCUUGAUUUCGUGCAGAGUUUGUGACAAAAAGGUUAAAUGAGUAAAACACGGUGACUACAUCUUAGAUAUUCCCAUGUUACACUUAACAAUUUCCUUGUAAAUGUAAUAAAGAUGCAGUACUUUCUGUUUGUUAAAGUCACAAUGAAAUGGAAAUUCAAAACUUUUUUUUAAUGUUGUGGUAUUUUUAAUGACUAUUUUAAAAAAAUCUAUUUGCCCUCAUAAUCUUUAAUCAAAAAUGCUCAUCUUCUCCCCUCCUCGAAACGAUCUCUCUUUACUUCCAGUCGUGAUAAAUGGCAGGAGGGCGAGGCCUGGGAAAAAAUUGCAGCAAUUAGAAACAUGACCCAACUUCCAAUGAUCCUAUCAGUUCUCAAUGGACAAUUUUUACACCCGCCCUACCUUUUUUCUCAUUUCAGAAGCUGUUUGACUCGUAUCAGGACAAGGAAAAUAAGACAGCCAGCCUCAGCAAGUCUUUGCACAUUUUUUUGCCAGUGAACAGCAUUGGCUGAGAACAACACCAAUCCAGCACUGACCAAUACAAGCCAGCUUAGACCAGCAUGAAUAUUGACGCUGGUCUCUUGCAGCAAGACUCUUACUCACAGCCGGAGGAAAUAUGAUGACUAUUGGGAAGUGGGAAGUUUUUCUCUGGGUUUGUCAUUAUUAUUGUUAAUUUUUUUAUAGUAGCUGUUGGAUAAUAUUUUCAGCUUUCCCAGAAAUGCUGUAACUGUAGAAAAUGAGGUCUUAUAUAAUUCACCCAGUUACAGAAGAAUUUUCCACUUUUUGCCAAGCAUUUCCACUGCUUUAAUCAUUAUUGUAGAGUGUGUUUUAGUGAGUUCAUAGUAAAGGUCAUGUGCAAGACAAAACUGAUAACCAAAGUUAUAAUAGGCUACGUUUUCCUCCUUAUUUGAUCCAGGAUGGUCCAGUACUGUUUGAAACACAUUUUGUGAUGAUUAACUGGGGCCAGAUGUGGAAUCAGUCAGGACACAUACCAAUUUUUAUCAAAUCACUUCCUGUGUUCCCUCUACUUUUCUGACUCUUGAAAUAAAAUAUACAUUUUUGAUAUCAAAA